rnacentral:tRNA from 1 species
GUAGGCAUAGUUUAACUAAAACAUUAGAUUGUGAUUCUAAAAACAGAGGUUAAAAUCCUCUUGUCCACC